rnacentral:rRNA from 1 species
UACGUAGGGUGCGAGCGUUAAUCGGAAUUACUGGGCGUAAAGCGUGCGUAGGCGGUUGGCAAAGUCAGCUGUGAAAGCCCCGGGCUCAACCUGGGAAUGGCGGUUGAAACUAGUCGACUCGAAUCUGGCAGAGGGGGGUGGAAUUCCACGUGUAGCAGUGAAAUGUGUAGAGAUCGGGAGGAACACCGGUGGCGAAGGCGGGACUCUGGGCCUACCCUGACGCUGAGGCGCGAAGGCGUGGGGAGCAAACGGG